UGAGGAAUUUUCCGCAAUGGGCGAAAGCCUGACGGAGCAAUGCCGCGUGAGGGAUGAAGGAUUUUGGUCUGUAAACCUCUUUUCUCAAGAAAGAAGUUCUGACGGUACUUGAGGAAUAAGCACCGGCUAACUCCGUGCCAGCAGCCGCGGUAAUACGGGGGGUGCAAGCGUUAUCCGGAUUUAUUGGGCGUAAAGCGCCUGUAGGUUGUUUAAUAAGUCUGUUGUUAAAGACUAGGGCUUAACCCUAGGAAAGCAAUGGAAACUACUAGACUUGAGUAUGAUAGGGGUAGAGGGAAUUUCUAGUGUAGCGGUGAAAUGCGUAGAUAUUAGAAAGAACACCGGUGGCGAAGGCGCUCUACUGGAUCAUUACUGACACUCAGAGGCGAAAGCUAGGGUAGCAAAAGGGAUUAGAUACCCCUGUAGUCCUAGCCGUAAACGAUGGAUACU
rnacentral:rRNA from 1 species